GCGCUCACUUCGGCAGCACAUAUACUAAAACUGGACCUAUAUACAGAGAAGAUGAGCAUGGUCCCUGCACAAGGAUGACACACAAUUUGCGAACUCUUCCCAAGAGUUU